GUCCUUCGUCCAUUUAUGACGUUUAACAUGCAACGGGACGUGCACGAUUUAAGGCGGGGAGGAUGUAACCCAGGUGUAAAAUCCACUUACCUAUAGUAACUGCAAAUUCCCAUUUCCUGUAUAUCAGUAAACGCCCCGUAUAAUCUCAGCCCCCUCACGUGACCACCUCAGCCAAUCACACGCUAAUGGCGCUUAUAUAAUGCAGCUGCGCUUCUCUCCAGUCAGAGCUGGGAGGAAGCGCAACAGGGCAGCUGCACAGGAGCCACUACCAUUAUCACGGACGCUGAGUAAAGACCGCGGGUUCUGACGCGAACAAGGGGAUUUGGCCAGGUGUGCUCGGGUUGGGCACAAUAUUUGAUGGCGAGCUAGGAGCCCUACCAAGAACUGGAACAUCACAUUCAACUCUACAGCCUUUGCGGUCUGGUAGGAGGCUGUUGCAGCCUGUCCCUCCCAUAGACUCAAACAUUCGCAUUCACAACCUUAACAUAUGGACAAAAGGGGAAAUUUUAUGGACAAUUAAGCCCAUAUCAGUGGCAACCUCAUUUUUUGUUCUAUUGUAUGCCCAUUUUUGGAGAUGAUAUGCUGAUAGUGCUGCAUUGUUGUUGUAUUGUGUGACCUAAACUGUGAAAGUGCACUUAUUUUUGCCUUACUCUAAGGGUAAAAUAUUGAGACUGAUACUGAAAUCCUGCAGAUUUUGUAAAUAUUGUGUUUUUGUGUGUUUUAUGUUUCACUUGCAAUACAUGGUACCAACCACAAA